AAAAUAGGCACAUGCAUCAUCACCAGGCAGCUGUCAAUCAGAAUCGAAAAAGCACUUAUGCCAGUGUGGGAAGCAGUGUGAUACAGAGAAAUCACCAGUGCUCUGUGCGUCUCUGGUCUCAAGUAUGUAGUAAAGGUCUCAUAAUAGAGGGCUGUUGCAGAGGUGGCUGCAAGGUAUGCAAGUCAGCAGAGGCUGCUCAUACCAUAACACCAACUCUGAAGAACAGGUCAGUAGUUCCUAACCUGAACUACCCUGGUGGACUCCCUAAGGUAAAUGAUGAAAGCUGUAAAAAGAUUUGGCUAUUACAACCUGAACAUUAGAGAAAGUGUAGGCUUUUAUUACCAUGAAAGUUGUAU
rnacentral:lncRNA from 1 species